UGCGGCACAGUUCGAUUUGGUGGUCCAGAUUCCAGACCUGAAACAAAAUGAGAUUCUCACGCGAAGCGUACGGAUUAAUAGUGUGCUGCUUAGAGCAGCUGUUGCCAUUCUCCGAAUAGGAGCCCUGGCAAUAGAAGUCACCCAAGUCGGAGCACAAGGAAGUGGACCAUUCGUCGAGGAUGCAGUUUUCCUUGGUGUACUCCCUAAUCACCUGCCUCAGUCUCUUGCUGGGUAUCCUGCCAGCGUCUGUUUCCUCGUCGCCCAAGUGCUGCUUCAGGAAUUCAUGCUUUUGCUUGCAAUUCCGGUCAAACAUCAUGGAGAAAAAGUCGCAACCGAUGAGCAGGUAUCGAAACUUCUCCAGCACAGAGUUUAUCACUUGUCGGGCCUUGGCAUUUUGGCGGUACAAGGGAUUGCGGGUCAGCUCCUCCUUGGCCUUAUAGUAGUAGCCUCGCACACGUGUCUGGGCACGUGUGGCCAUAGCUUCCUCCUUAGAGUGGAAGCGCUCCUCGCCGCCCGUGAACCACUCCACGUGCUCGGCCUUUAAGCUGAGGUGGGUCUUGCUGUUAUCCAGGACGCGUCGCUGCUUUUGGUGUUCAUACUCCGUUAUCAUGCGGCGGAACUUUUCCGGAUGCUGUUCGAUAAAAUCGUAGAAAAUGUCAGCCACCUUUAGCAAAGGCGAUUGUUGUCGCAUCUUCUCAAACUCAAAAUCGGCAUCUAAUAGAAGACAGAUUAAUUGUGAUUAAGUUAAAUAUUUAAACUGCAGCUCACCUGUUGUAAUGACUGCAUCCGGGCCAGACACUAUGAACAGCGUCUGGGCGGGUAGGCUUUUUAAGUACUCAUCGUCGGACACCUCGAAGCCAUCAGAAGCCAAAUACAAAUGUGGCUCGAGAAGCUAAAAGGCAAGGACGUUCCAUCAACAGGUGGUUAGCUCUACUAUACAGGACAUGCGCAUUGGCAUUUACUAGUGGCAUUGAAAGAGAGCCAAACAAACGCGGAAGCCACUGCCAGGGACAUGGCCUUGAAAAUUACCAGAGCCAGGAACUUUCAGCCCAUCUACGUGGGUGGGUGUAUAUUUCGCGCUUUUACGCAGGAGUUUUUCCUGUUUUUUUUUUCUUACCGGGAACUUGCUUUUUGCCUUGGCUAUCAGCAUUUCCAGGGAAUUGGCUCCGAUUCCGUAUUUCCUCGUUCGCUCGUUGUCAGUAACCUUGUAGCCACGCAUUGGAGCACCUGCUGUUCCCCUGGAUUCGGAUGAGCUCACAUCCUUGAGAACUUCGCCUGUUGGCUGGCUGCUUUUCUUGUUAUUCGAGCUGCUGCGUGUUGUCGGUGACAUGAUUGCAUCUCUAAUGUAGCUGAUCAUCGUUCUGGCUCAUAAUAAAGUCAACUUUGGAAUGUAGUCCUCGCAGCAAGUUUCCUUAUCCGCGGACAAAGCAAAAUAAACUAGCAGAACAAGGCAUUUUUCGCGCUUCUCAACACUAGAUUCUCAUUG
ensembl:ncRNA asRNA:CR44083 antisense RNA:CR44083